rnacentral:lncRNA from 7 species
AAGUGAAGGCAAAGCACUGCAGCUCUUCAGAUCAACGUGGUAUCUGGUGUCACACUGAAACUCAUCCUCUCUGCAGUAGGAGAUGGAGUGUUCUGCAGGUACACCGCCAAGCUUAGAAAUGCAUCUUGGGAAGCAAAAACAUAAUCCACUCUUAGAAAGUAUCCAGCAGGCAAGAAAACCAACAUCCUUGCCAGAGAAGGACACUUUGUUACAUGGGUUGCAGCCGUUGUCCUAUCUUCCCACCUACCCUUUGGGAAUGAUGCUAUCCUAAUGAAACUCUGACUUAGCGUGUGUUUCAACUCUACCAGCUUCCACAAGCUGCCCCAGUACAUUAGCAUCUGCCAUCCCUGUAAGAAGAUCAUACUCUGCAUAUGAAACAUCAUUAUUUUGCGAAGGGAGUACAAGUCUUCCAAUGCUCUAAAAGUGUUUCUGAUUUGAGAAAGAGAGUGCUAAAUGCCAUUCAAGUCCUUCCUUUACAGCUGUCCUGUAGAAGCAGUAACAGGGCUCUGCAAAAUUUUGAUCUUCUUAAUGACAUUGGAAGUGCAAGUGGAAAUACACUCUCUGCUCUCUUUCAAUUUCAUGUGACCACAUCUUGUCUAACCUGACCUUAUAACCAACCACGGAGAUUCUCUUCUGAUUUUAAUGCUUCCCGUUGAUGACAAAUAUUUGUUUAAUAAAUAUUAUUGCAUAAAUUACGAGAAAAUUGAGAACCUCAAUGCUUACAUUUCUUCAAAUUUGAUUAAAGUUUUGAAGUGAUUAUUAUACUUACUAUGUAUUAUUAAAUGUUUACAAUAUGAAAUUUCCUGUCAAAGAUUCACGAUAUGAAUCUAAUGUUUGACUGACUUUUUGUGCCUGAUUAACCCAAACAGUUUGAAUUAGAAUCUUUAUCUUUUAUCUUGUUCCUUCAUCCUAUUUUAUUUCUUCCACCUCAUGUUUUUCCUACAGUAUGGAUGUGUCUAGACAGGAAAAAAGGUCAGGAAGGGAAGGAAAACUGUUAUCAACUGUAACUCAAAUUAUCAAAUUAAAACUGAGGGUUGAGAUGAAAAAGAAUCCUAGAAAAAAAUAAAUAAGAAAUGAAUUAUCUCUCUGGUUUUAUGUAUUACCCUAUCAUUUAAGUACAGCUCCCAGUACUCAGUUCUGAAAAAUAAAUGAAAAGAAAAUGUUCGUAUUUUUAAAACAAAGGUUGACAAUAUUGUUAACAGUAAUUGAGGGAUUGGUGGUCUGGAAGAUAGUGCAGCUGUAUUCUUAGACCACUGGGAUGCUAUCCUGGCUGGUGGACAUGUUCUAACUGACAUUCUGUAUGUAACUAUGGAAAACAAUAAAAAUUCAUGCUCCAAACU